rnacentral:rRNA from 1 species
UUGAACGCUGGCGGCAUGCUUUACACAUGCAAGUCGAACGGCAGCACGGGGGCAACCCUGGUGGCGAGUGGCGAACGGGUGAGUAAUGCAUCGGAACGUACCGUGUAAUGGGGGAUAACGAGUCGAAAGACUUGCUAAUACCGCAUACGCCCUGAGGGGGAAAGUGGGGGAUCGUAAGACCUCACGUUAUACGAGCGGCCGAUGCCGGAUUAGCUAGUUGGUAGGGUAAAGGCCUACCAAGGCGACGAUCCGUAGCGGGUCUGAGAGGAUGAUCCGCCACACUGGGACUGAGACACGGCCCAGACUCCUACGGGAGGCAGCAGUGGGGAAUUUUGGACAAUGGGGGCAACCCUGAUCCAGCCAUGCCGCGUGAGUGAAGAAGGCCUUCGGGUUGUAAAGCUCUUUCAGACGGAAAGAAAACGCAUCGGUGAAUACCCGGUGUGGAUGACGGUACCGUAAGAAGAAGCACCGGCUAACUACGU